rnacentral:rRNA from 1 species
AACUUUUAACAACGGAUCUCUUGGUUCUCGCAUCGAUGAAGAACGUAGCAAAGUGCGAUAACUAGUGUGAAUUGCAUAUUCAGUGAAUCAUCGAGUCUUUGAACGCAUCUUGCACUCAAUGGUAUUCCAUUGAGUACGCCUGUUUCAGUA